UCCCUGGUGGUCCAGUGGUUAGGACUCUGCUCUCUCACUGCUGAGGGCCUGGGUUCGAUCUCUGGUUGGGGGA
rnacentral:tRNA from 1 species